rnacentral:snoRNA from 1 species
AUCAGCUGAAAAUCACCCAUGGCCAUGGGUGAGAUUUGAUGACAAGGGAUGGGGGGGCCUCAGCCCACCUUCACUAUGUGAGAGGAUGAAAUCCACUUCCUGGGAUCU